rnacentral:rRNA from 1 species
CCUACGGGGGGCAGCAGUGGGGAAUAUUGCACAAUGGGGGAAACCCUGAUGCAGCAACGCCGCGUGAGUGAUGACGGCCUUCGGGUUGUAAAGCUCUGUCUUCAGGGACGAUAAUGACGGUACCUGAGGAGGAAGCCACGGCUAACUACGUGCCAGCAGCCGCGGUAAUACGUAGGUGGCGAGCGUUGUCCGGAUUUACUGGGCGUAAAGGGAGCGUAGGCGGACUUUUAAGUGAGAUGUGAAAUACUCGGGCUCAACUUGAGUGCUGCAUUUCAAACUGGAAGUCUAGAGUGCAGGAGAGGAGAAUGGAAUUCCUAGUGUAGCGGUGAAAUGCGUAGAGAUUAGGAAGAACACCAGUGGCGAAGGCGAUUCUCUGGACUGUAACUGACGCUGAGGCUCGAAAGCGUGGGGAGCAAACAGGAUUAGAUACCC